rnacentral:rRNA from 1 species
CCCUUAGACGUUCUGGGCCGCACGCGCGCUACACUGACCAGUGCAACAAGCAUCCGUCCUUGGCCGACAGGCCCGGGCAAUCUUUGAACGCUGGUCGUGAUGGGGAUAGACUUUUGCAAUUUUUGGUCUUCAACGAGGAAUUCCUAGUAAACGCAAGUCAUCAACUUGCAUUGAUUACGUCCCUGCCCUUUGUACACACCGCCCGUCGCACCUACCGAUUGAAUGGUCCGGUGAAUAAUUCGGACUGCAGCACUGCUUGGUCUCCAGGCUUUGCAGCGGAAAGUUUAGUGAACCUUAUCACUUAGAGGAAGGAGAAGUCGUAACA